AAAAAAAUUUAGUUAUGUAACUAAAUUAACUCAAAUGGAUUUGUGUCGUAUGCGUAGUCCUAGACCUGUUCCUAUAUUUGAGCCUGCCCAUUUCAAUUCCCAGGUGCUCUGCUCCGUACAAAUUAUUUGAUCUACUCUCAAUUUUUCUAAGACAGGCAAGUACUCAUAUUCGAUUCUCUAAUUCUGAUUCAGGAGUAAGAUGACUUUGGUUGCUUGAGAAUCUGACAUAGGCACACAAGAAGAAGCAGCUGAAGCUUAUGAUAUUGCUGCAAUUAAGUUUAGAGGGACAAGUGCUGUAACCAAUUUUGACAUAAAUAGUUACCUGACUUUAAGAAGUUGCUUGAUAUCGAGUUUGAAAAGGUCAAGGCUAGUUCAUUUUCAAGUCCACAGAAUGAUCCACUGAUACGUCAGUUCCGGCAAGCUGUCUGGAAAGUUAAUAGGGGAAACAUAGAGGAAAUAUCCCAAGCUGAUAUGUUUCUUUUGACACAUAAACACAAGAAUGGAGAAUUGGAUGAGGAAAGCAUGGGAAUUUUGAUCUAAAGAAAAAACCACCUUCAUUUGAUUCCAUGGAUGCCCAAAGAAUGGUUGAAAAUGCUAGAAGAGUUGCUAUGGAUGAGAUGAAAGAAGUGAAAGAUAAAUUAGAAGAAGAGAUGCAAAAAAAGUUGGAGCAGCAAGUACAAUCUAUCAAGAUUGAGAUGACAGAUCAAGUUCUAACGAUCAAAUCAGAAAUUUUGCAGCAAAUUAACUUGUUGAUCUCACAAUUACAAAUGAGGUUUCCUAAGCCAGCAACUUCAACCAUAAAUGACCAGCCAUCAACUUCUUCACAAAUGCUUAAUGAAUCAUCGUUGAUUGAUUGUCAAGAAAUGGAACAAAUAAUCAAACACCAAAUAUUUGAUAAUAUAUCUUUAAAUCAGAUUUGUAAGAUGGUGAAAGUUAAUGUUCCUUACUGCUCUUGGAAGAAUAAAGGCACAACUUCGAACAAAUGAGCCUAACAAGAUACUUGGAAAAAUUGAUUCCAAAUAUUGCUAUUGGUGAAUGCUGUAAGGAAGGCUAGGAACUGUAAUGUCAGCUGGUUUUGUUAGAUUGGAGAAUAGACAAACAAAUAUGUAUAGAGAGGAGUUAGAGAGAAGAAGAGAGAAAGAGAGAGAUGACUAAAAUUAGUUGAGGAAACCCCAUAUUGUAAACAUUGUAAAGACCUUUGAAAAUGAUUUUUAAAGCAUUUGAUUUUUGAGGCAUUAGUUCUACAAUUUGAUUUUA